rnacentral:rRNA from 1 species
UACGUAGGGUGCGAGCGUUGUCCGGAAUCAUUGGGCGUAAAGCGCGUGUAGGCGGUUCGGUAAGUCCGCUGUGAAAGUCGGGGGCUCAACCCUCGGAUGCCGGUGGAUACUGUCGGACUAGAGUGCGGAAGAGGCGAGUGGAAUUCCUGGUGUAGCGGUGAAAUGCGCAGAUAUCAGGAGGAACACCAAUUGCGAAGGCAGCUCGCUGGGACGUUACUGACGCUGAGACGCGAAAGCGUGGGGAGCAAACAGG